GACGAACGCUGGCGGCGUGCUUAACACAUGCCAGUCGAACGAAGAGCGAUGGAAGCUUGCUUCUAUCAAUCUUAGUGGCGAACGGGUGAGUAACGCGUAAUCAACCUGCCCUUCAGAGGGGGACAACAGUUGGAAACGACUGCUAAUACCGCAUACGAUCUAAUCUCGGCAUCGAGGAUAGAUGAAAGGUGGCCUCUACAUGUAAGCUAUCACUGAAGGAGGGGAUUGCGUCUGAUUAGCUAGUUGGAGGGGUAACGGCCCACCAAGGCGAUGAUCAGUAGCCGGUCUGAGAGGAUGAACGGCCACAUUGGGACUGAGACACGGCCCAGACUCCUACGGGAGGCAGCAGUGGGGAAUCUUCCGCAAUGGACGAAAGUCUGACGGAGCAACGCCGCGGGAGGGAUGACGGCCUUCGGGUUGUAAAGCUCGGUUAAUCGGGACGAAAGGCCUUCUUGCGAACAGUUAGAAGGAUUGACGGUACCGGAAGAGAAAGCCACGGCUAACUACGUG
rnacentral:rRNA from 1 species